GUCAGAGCUGGUAUGUCUGCUCUGCGCAGUGAUGCCCAGACCCUCAGUGCAAACUACAUGGUGUCACCACUUUGCCACCAAAUUCCCAUCAGAAGAAAAAGGCUGUGUCUGUUGUCUUUCCUAUUUCUCAUAAUAGCCACUUAUCAUCGUGAGCAAUGUGUUGACAGAAUUCACACUUUCAAGAGAUUAUCUGAGAUAUCUCUGGAGUGAAGGAGAACUGCUACAAUUCCAGGUGAUGAGAGUGGCAGCUUGAGGUGGGAGAAUGUUUCUUGCAUAAUGGAAGUGACUCGUGGAUCCAGCAGAGCCUCCAGGUCAACAGAGUACCUCCAUGUGCCACACAAGCGGACAGGGAAGCCUGCUGGUGUGGCCCAUGGAUGCCAGUCUUCCAGAGCCCGGAGAAGAGUGGAGAAGGGCCAGAAGUGGAAUCGGAGGAGUAAAUAGCCCAUGUGAGGCUUCUGAUAGAUCUGCCUAGUUUAUAAAACUGCAUACUGCCGUGAGAUGGGAUACCUUCGGAGCAGACUGAUGAGAGAAGACACUUGUCCCAUGUGGCUGCAUCUCCUCUCUACCCCUGGAGAACCUCAUCCAUCACUUGUCAUUGCAGAGACCCAGCUGAUGCACACCCCGGCAAGGAAUUGCCAGUUUGAGCAACUUGUUGGCACUUCCUUGACCUGUGUUGGAACUAUCUGAUAUAUCACAGGACUUCAAAGUUCCCGUAACAGGAUGUAAAUUGUGACAUCGUGCAGGAG
ensembl:lncRNA